AGGGGCGCGCGGGGGAGGGGAGGGCGCGGAAGCCGAGGUGGGGGCGCUUCCCGCCCCACCCCGCCUCCAGAACAACGGGUUCCCGCUGCUGCCCCCUGCCGCCCGCCGCGGCUUUGACGGAGGCGUCGGGGGGCGCCGCUGCCGUGGGAACCGGACCCGGCACGCACGCUCUAAACCUGCCCGGGGUUCCUGUCAGAAAACUUGCGGCUACUUUCGAGAAGCCGGUUGCGGCCACAUGUCACUUAGCCUGGCCACCUCUCUUGUACUUUAAAACAACGGGGAACGGGCUGGGGCGAAGCGUUGCGCGGCUCUCACUCCGGAAACCAAACCUUAUUUAAUUCGCCGCCAGAUGAAGUCCUCAUCCCGGGUGUCACUAACUGGCCCUUUUCUGGGGCUGAACAAUCACACCCUUCCCAUGCCUCAGUAGCUCCAAGAAUUGUCUAAACCAUCACCCUCUGGUUCUGUUUUCUAGUCGAUCUUGUCCUAAAAUGCAACCCAAUCAGUAGGUACAAGAGGUGGCCACUGUUGCUGCCACCGUUCUACAGAAGGAGCAGUUACCAGGAACACCCAGCCUGAGAACAACAGAUCUAGGAUUUGAAUACUGGCUGUUUCCAGCUGCUUCCUGUCACCCAAGCUGAUCCUUAUUUAACUGUCCAUGGAAAGAACAGUGACUCUGAAUUCUCCACUUUUCCACGGAGGAUGUCAUCUAUAAUGUGAGCAGCUCCUUGGUUAGGCCAGGCGUUUUUCCUAUGGAACUUCAAGAAAGUGAAAUUUGAGACCUGCUUAGAGGAAGCAUUCCCAAAUCAGAUUACUGUCUUGGAAACCAGCCUCCGACUGUCAGCGUGUGCAUUAUGAGUGCUAACCAGGAGAGACAGCGUCCCGACAGCGGGACAGUGGUGCUUUGGGACAUGCCUACCACCUGUUAAAAGAAGCAAGCCGCUGGGAGGACAGCUUGGUACUCUUAGGCUAGUGCAGGUAGAGGUCAGAAGUGAAAGUGGGAAGAGAGGAGGAGAUGGAAGACUCGAGAAAAAUUAGUGUAGUGUAUAUGCACUUGGGAUCUGUAAUCCACUGCAAAGAAUGAGGAUCAAGGUCAUGCAGAAGAGAGCGUGUGGGCAUGUUGUGACAGAGCCACAAAGGGAACAUAAACAUGAAAACUCAGCACAAGGCAGGUAAGGUGUUGGGGAGUCAGAACGGCUUUUCUCUCCAAGUGGAGCUUUGGAACAGGAGUAAUUUUAGAUUGGAUUAAUGGAAAUACAGCCUCCGGAACAGCGGGAAAAAGCCGCUCUCAACUCUGUGAGACCAUUCCUAAGCAACACAUUUUCCUCUAAGUGAUGUAAUGAAAACAUCUGAAGCAGGGAGAAGGCUUGAACCCUGCCCGACCAAGAAAGCUGGAUUCACGAGUGAUGGAAAGCGAUUAGACUUAUUAAGUAUGGUGUGGUUGCAUGAGCCUGUAAUCCUAGCACUAUGGAGGCAGAGGCUGGAGGAUCACUACAGGUCUGAGGCCAGCCUGAUCUAUAUAACAAGUUCCAGGCUAAGACCCUGUCUCAAAAAGGAAUCUAACUUGAUCAGGGCCAAAGCAGGGCUCUAGAACAGAUGGGAUGGUACUUUAGACACAUAUUCUAGUUUAGAAUAAGGAAGAGGUCCUGUAAAUGUAAUCUAGGCCGUCUUAGAAUGGAACAAAGUCUGUAUGACUAGCAGCACUGGAAAUGUAUAUUAUCGGGAGCCUAUGUGACACUGUGCCUGUCCCAACAUGGGCCAUUUUCUGGGAUACUAUAGAAAGUGGGAGAACAAUAUAACCUGUCUCAUAAGGCUGUUGAAAAGCAUAGGAUUAACACUGCUUUGUUUUGUUUUUUAAGAUUUAUUUUAUUUAUAUGUAGUGUUCUGUCUGCCUGUAUCCCUGCAGGCCAGAAGAGGGCACCAGAUCUCAUUAUAGAUGGUUGUGAACCACCAUGUAAUUGCCGGGAAUUGAACUCAGGACCUGUAGAAGAGCAGCCAGUGCUCUUAACCUCUGCGCCAUCUCUCCAGCCCCCCACUGUUUUAUUUUUUCCAGAAACAGUUUCUCUGUGUAGCCCUGUCUGCCCUGAAACUUGCUUUGUAGACCAGGCUGGCCUCGAACUCAGAGAUCCACCUGCCGCUGCCUCCCGAGUGAUGGGAUUAAAGGUGUGCAGCACCACCGCCCAGCAAUUAGCUUUGUUUUAAAGUCUACAGAUAAAACAUUCUUGAAAUUAUAGGGCUCCAUUUGUUCAUCUUGGUGUUUUUGCUGGAGUUGAAGGCAGCACCUUGCACAUGCUAGGCAAGCUAUGCGGGAGCUGCAUCUCCAAGUCUUUACAUUUUGAAAGAAAGUCUAACCUGGGCAGUGGCACAUCCUUUCAUCCCAGUACUUGGGGGAAGCAGAUCUUUAAUCCCAGUUGAGAGGCAGCUGGAUCUCUGUGAGUUUGAGACCAACCUGAUCUACAAAGUGAGUUCCAGGACUGCUAAGGGUGUUACGCAGAGAAACCCUAUCUCAAAAAAACAGAAAAGAAAAAAAAAAAGGAGAGUCUCACUACAUACAAUGCUACCAUAACAACCUCUAAGGUUCAGUAUUUGUGACUUUAUCAGAGCAAUUUUUUUUUUCAAGACAGGGUUUCUUUGUGUAGCCCUGGCUGUCCUGACAGUCACUCUGUAGACCAAGCUGACCUCCAACUCAGAAAUCUGUUUGCCUCUGACUCCUUAGUGGUGGGAUUAAAAGCAUGUGCCACCACUGCCCAACUGAGAGCAAUUAUUUGAUCUUGUGCUUAUAGAUUUAUUUAUUAUAUUUUGAGGCCAGGUCUUCCUGUGUAGUCCCUGCUGACUUGGAACUUGAGAUCAUCCUGAGUCCUCUGCUAGGCAAGCAGUCUACCAUUUGUGUGUGUAUUUUACUUCUGGGAAAAAGCAAACAAAAUUAGGCCUGGAUGCAUUGGAGAAAUAGCUCAGCAGUUAACAGCACUGGCAGAAAACACGGGUUCAUAUUUUAGCACCCACACAGUACCUUAAAACCACCUGUAGCACUGCUGGGGAUGGUGGUACAGGCCUUUAGUCCCAGCAGAGGCAGGCAGAUCUUUGUAAGUUCAAAGCCAGCCUGGUCUAGAGAGUGAGUUCCAGGACAGCCAGGGUUGUUAAUACAUAGAAACCCUGUCUCGAAAAAACAAAAAGGAAAAAAAGAAAACAAAAAAUAGUGACUGCCAUAUACCUCCCUCCCCCAUUUUAGGUGUUCACUAGAGGACCAUACCUUAAACUCGCUUUGUCCUAUAGAAAGAAACCGGCUUUAACAGGACUGUUGAGUGUCCUUGCUGCCAACACAAGGUAAAAAUCAUUUCACUUCUCUCUCCUUCCCUUCUGUUUUUCUCUUCAUGCUUUAAUCAUUUUGACACCAGGCUGUACAAAAGUAAUUUAAAAUUAAAAUGUCUGACACUUGGAGGCUGGCAGAACCUGAUUCUGAACCCUGCCCCCUCUCUGGGGCAGCCAGAAACCAUCUUUCAUUGGCUACUGGUCCUGUAGCAGCUGAUGAAGGGCCCAGGAAACACAUCCAACAAUUAAUUUGCUAAUUUAGUUUUCUGUCUAAUUUGAAACCAGAAAACCCUCAAUCACCCAGGAGCCUGGCUCUCUGGCUCCAGUGCUGGCUUCUGAAACUUCCUGUCUUGUAGCUCUCAGAGAAACAGAAAAGGAGAGAUUUUACCUUGUUAGGCACAUAACAUUCUCCAGUGUGUCUUCUAGUGGUGUUCUGUAGGGUCAUAGUUCACAAGUAGUGUUACCAGGAGAACUGGAAAACAAUACAUUCAGAAAGUGUUCAGUGUGGUCAAACUGCUUCCUGAAUCAUGGGGAAUUUCCAGACCAAUAUGUGUUAGAAAAGUCAGGUUUCUGACAACUCAGAUGGGUCUCUGGCAUAGAGGCAAAGCCAUGCUGUGGUCAGUCAGCCUCCUCGGGAACAUUCCUGAUAGCUUCAUUGGGAUGGGGCAGAGUAGUUGUGUGAGACUAGAGAAAGUGGCAUCAGUGUGGGAUGGGACUGCAGACUUAGGCAGCCUUCCGCAGACCCUCACUGGCCUUUGCCUUCUGGAGGGCUCAGCCAAGAAGCAGUGGUAGGAUUCACUCUCAGAUACACUGCAGAAUCUGCCCCUGCUGCCACUUGGAGAAUCCUUUGCUGUUAGUGGCCUCAUCUGCUUCCUCCAUUCCCACCCCAGGCAGGUUGAACUCUUCCGCCUGAUGUCUUACAUCUUCUAUAUCUUGGCUCCACCAAUCCCUAAUUGGAGCUGCUCAUGAGUACAUAUUCAAAUCUGGCGAGACUCCUUGUUCUCAGAACAUACUGCUCUGGCUCUGCCUCCAAAUCCUUUCCAUUUCCCAUUUCCUAGUGACUUUCCUCCCUGUGCCCCUG